AAAUCUAUAUUAUAAUACACCGUGUUGAUCAGAUAAGGUCUUGUGUGAAAUCAUUGCGUUGCAUAUGGACUAUAGUCACAUUAGUCAUUACAGAAAGGGAAAAUGUUAGGAAGUGGUUGCGUGGAAAGGGCGAGGAAGGGAGGGAUAGCUCGUGUCGGACGCGUGGCAGUCUUAUAGUGACUGAAAAAAAGAAUGAGCGCGAAAGUCCUAUGUUGAAGGGCGAUCAAUCGAAACUUGUGACACGUAUCGUCAUAACUCAUGCGUUGCAUUGCAAACAAUUUACCCGACACUACACACGUACAUAAUAUUACCAAAACUACAUAAAACGAAUUAACGCGUACCUUGCGAAUCAAAUGUACCGCAAUUACGUAUUCUAGACUGUAAACUAUCAUUCAUUUAACCAUUUCUCAUAGAAAAUGUAGCACAAUAAAGAUAUCAGACAUUAUCUACUUCAUUGUUAGCUGUAGGAUAGAUUAUUAUAAUGAAGGACAAAGUGUUUCAAAAAUUCUUUCGGAAAGAACGGUGGACAUACGUUGCUUUGUGAAACUUCUGUCUUGUCAAUUAAUAAAAUUUAUUUAUUAAUCCGCCAAUAAGGUACAAGCGAUAGGAAUUUUCUUAUUAAAAGUGAGCAGUUGUUCGAAAUAAUUCAUAUACUUACGAAAUCUGUGAAUUUCUUCUGUCAUGUGAGUGUUAAUUAAAGGACAAGCUGUCACACCAAACUUUAAUUAUCGAAUGUUAGGCAGUACGACGGUUGCGGAUAACUGGUGUCUUUACUAAUUACGAAACAGUCCGCAGGAUAUGACUUGCGUGGAGGACAGAGUAUAGAACUGUACUUGCCACGCUAUCAGCAAGCCGACAAGUGGGUGCUAUGCAGUGCUAUGUAUUAUCGCAGAAACUAGCCUACGACUCCACUUCUCUUUCGAUACUGGCGCAAGAGGGUGCGUGGCAUGCGUGCGAUUCACAGGGAUGUAUCUAGGAAAUUUACUGACAAGUAUAUCGAAAGUCCGCACUAAACUUAAACAUUAUUAUUUAAAUAACAUAUUAAAAAAAUGUUUAUGUUCUCGAAUAGUAUACAGUAAUGAGCAAAAACUUCCGGAUACGAAAAGGGACUCGGUUUACAAUAUUUAGGUUGCUAAACUAUCUCCCUUACACUCUGCCACUCUUACUGUACAAACAUUACAUGUUUAUAUUCAUUAAAAAAGUCUCGUGAUCUUUUAUUUGUAAUAUUAGAUUAAUACAUACUUUUAGCUCAUUUGAUUAAAAAAUUAUUGGAUAUAUGUAAUUAUUAUCCAUAAUAAAUCCUUAAAACCGAUCCCCAUGCCGGUUCUAAAGAUCUUAAUAUUUAUUUCCGCCAUAAUAAUUCAUAAUUUAGGUAUCUCACUUACACUUGUGUGAAAAUAUAUAUCGAAUCUCAAACUGUUUGUAAAAUAUCAUACAUGUAUAUCUGUAAAACUAAGAUUCAUAUCACUAUUUUGUAUAAAUAUAUUGUUUACUUUUGACGUGGGACAUUUAUGAUGAGUAAUAUAUUUAUACAAAAUAGUAAUGAUAUAUAGUAUGUACACAAGUUCAAUAAAAAUGGAAUUACAAACAAAUUACAUAAAAAUCCAAAAUAGGAAUAAUCGAAAUGAAAUGUUGUUAAUUCAUUGUAAAUGAAUACACAAUAUUAAUUUAUCGUCAAUUAUACGUAAUCAGAAA